UACGUAGGUGGCAAGCGUUGUCCGGAUUUACUGGGCGUAAAGAGCGUGCAGGCGGUUGUUUAAGUCGAAUGUGAAAGCCCCCGGCUCAACUGGGGAGGGUCAUUCGAUACUGAUCGACUUGAGGGCAGGAGAGGGAAGUGGAAUUCCGGGUGUAGUGGUGAAAUGCGUAGAUAUCCGGAGGAACACCAGUGGCGAAGGCGACUUCCUGGCCUGUUCUUGACGCUGAGGCGCGAAAGCUGGGGGAGCAAACGGG
rnacentral:rRNA from 1 species